CGUCGCAGCCGCCUUGGUCCACUCUCGCGGCCUUCUCCUGCGUCCCACCGACCUUCCCGGUCGGUCGCCGCAGCCCUUCGUAUCGCCGCCGCCGCCCUGAACCUUGGGCGCCGCCACCCAGGUCUGCAGACCGAGCCUGGCUCGAGCGGCAACGCCCGAGCCGCGGGCCGCCGCCGCUGUCGCCCGCCGCCUUCCUCCUCCUCCUCCGACCUCUGUGGACCUGCCGCCGUCGUCCCCGAGGAGCCCCGGCCACCGCCGUGGCCGUAGCUUCGUUGGAACCCGAGCCCGAGCUCGUGCGGGCUCAAGUCUCUCCGCCGUCACUGCCGCCGCUCCCCGCCGCCAAAUGAGGUGAGCAUCGUGUUCCUCACCUCCCCCGCACCCAUCCCUGGCUCCCGCGCGCGCCGCCGUGCCGCCGGAAGCCGGCCGGAGCAACCUUGCUCCGGCCAAGCCCGAAAUAGGGCCUAUUUUAGAUGUUUUGUGUUCUGAGCUUCCCGAGCCUCCCCGAUCUCUACGGAAGGGAGCACGAUGAUCGUAGCAAAUUGCUGAUCAUCGUGCUCACCUUAGAUUCUGUCGGGGAGACUCCGUUCAGCUGUUUCGGCAUUGUCGACCCUAUCGAGCCUGUUUGGCUGCUGUUUUGGGUUUGCGCACGCUUAUCCGGCGAUCCGAGGCUGUCCUGAUGCCUCCAGAGGUGAGCACGGUGAUCGUUGGUCAGUACUGAUCACAGUGCUCACCUCACUUUGGAUCAACAGUGUCCGGUUAGCCCUGUUUGGCACGAUCUUCCCCGACUGCGCGCUGUUC
rnacentral:lncRNA from 1 species